CUUUUCAGUGGGGCCUCUCACUGCUCCUUUAUUUUGUGCCUAUAAAAUCAUGCCAGGAAAUCCUGAGCCUGGGUGCCAGAAUGAUUAAAAACUUCCCAGCAAGGUGCGUGAAAAUCAGAGAAAGUGCCUGUCGCUGUCACUCUGCUCCCUUGGGUUCUAGGCGGCUUGUCACUCCCAUCUUUCCAAACACCCAACUGAGACUUUUUCUCUGUUCUGAGAAGCAGGUAAGGACAUUUCUCUCCCUCUGACCUCCCUCACAUCUUCAUCUCUUCAGAUACCUCUAACCUAUUUGGAAACAGUGGGGCCAAGACAUUUGGUGGAUUUGCCAGCUCGUCGUUUGGAGAGCAGAAACCCACUGGCACUUUCAGCUCUGGAGGAGGAAGUGUGGCAUCCCAAGGCUUUGGGUUUUCCUCUCCAAACAAAACAGGUGGCUUCGGUGCUGCUCCAGUGUUUGGCAGCCCUCCUACUUUUGGGGGAUCCCCUGGGUUUGGAGGGG
rnacentral:sRNA from 1 species